rnacentral:rRNA from 1 species
AGGACGAACGCUGGCGGCGUGCUUACACAUGCAAGUCGAACGAUGAAGCCCAGCUUGCUGGGUGGAUUAGUGGCGAACGGGUGAGUAACACGUGAGCAACGUGCCCAUAACUCUGGGAUAACCUCCGGAAACGGUGGCUAAUACUGGAUAUCUAACACGAUCGCAUGGUCUGUGUUUGGAAAGAUUUUUUGGUUAUGGAUCGGCUCACGGCCUAUCAGCUUGUUGGUGAGGUAAUGGCUCACCAAGGCGACGACGGGUAGCCGGCCUGAGAGGGUGACCGGCCACACUGGGACUGAGACACGGCCCAGACUCCUACGGGAGGCAGCAGUGGGGAAUAUUGCACAAUGGGCGAAAGCCUGAUGCAGCAACGCCGCGUGAGGGAUGACGGCCUUCGGGUUGUAAACCUCUUUUAGUAGGGAAGAAGCGAAAGUGACGGUACCUGCAGAAAAAGCACCGGCUAACUACGUGCCAGCAGCCGCGGUAAUACGUAGGGUGCAAGCGUUGUCCGGAAUUAUUGGGCGUAAAGAGCUCGUAGGCGGUUUGUCGCGUCUGCUGUGAAAUCCCGAGGCUCAACCUCGGGUCUGCAGUGGGUACGGGCAGACUAGAGUGUGGUAGGGGAGAUUGGAAUUCCUGGUGUAGCGGUGGAAUGCGCAGAUAUCAGGAGGAACACCGAUGGCGAAGGCAGAUCUCUGGGCCAUUACUGACGCUGAGGAGCGAAAGCAUGGGGAGCGAACAGGAUUAGAUACCCUGGUAGUCCAUGCCGUAAACGUUGGGCGCUAGAUGUGGGGACCAUUCCACGGUUUCCGUGUCGUAGCUAACGCAUUAAGCGCCCCGCCUGGGAGUACGGCCGCAAGGCUUAAACUCAAAGGAAUUGACGGGGGCCCGCACAAG